AAAAAAAGCAAACGUUUUCAUUUUGUACCUCUAAUUCUGUAUUUUUCAGAUAUCAGAAUAUCAGAAAAUCUGCAAUAUGCCAUUGGAACAGAACUAAAAGUAUUUUUGAUUUUAUGAAUCGAUUCGGCGAAAUUUCACUAAGUCUGAAAUCAAUGGUUUCUACUACGUUGACAAAAGAAUCCUUUCAGGAUAAUGAGUACUUCGCAUUCUGUAUUCACGAGACUCACCAAACUGAAAAUUAUGUCAAAUUACAGAUAAGUUCGCUAAAACGUUUCGAUUGAGUUGUUGCACUAAGCAACAGUAGGAACUAAUAAUAUACUUGAGUUUUUUGCAUGAAAAUAUAAGUAAAUACUCAUAAAAAUAGAAUUAUUUCGAAAUUCUGAUUAUACCGUGUUUGUAUACCGACCAGCAACAACAUUCUAACAAUCUACUUAAUAUGAUAUUGGUCUUCACAGGUCGCGAGAUUCCACAAAACGUAACUAAAAAUAUUUAUAAAAUAGUCCAAAAAGUAGUAAGAGUCUUACAAAUGAGCCUUACAAAUGUUUUAAUCCAUUUCUUGUAUCCCAAUUUUGCAACCGUCUUUUAACAGGCGUCUAAUUACAGAACGAUUCCGUAGUUGUAGUUAUGGUUUUUACCACGAGAUGCCGCUAGUGUCAUGAUGUUCAUAUAGCGUUUCCCUCGUACUGUACGGUAUGCUUGGAAUUUUUUGUCGCUAUUUUAGCUUUAAAACCAUACUUUAUCUUCGAUAAUUGGUUUCGAAGUAUUCCCGCUACGUUGCUAAGAAAUCGUUAUAAAAAAUAUUGCGUCGGAUAUAUUAGAAAAUACUUGUAAUUGCGAUAAGCACUUCUCUUCAAAAGGAAAUCUUACUAGCGAGCAUGUAAGUUUAGAACAUAAGCAAAUCCUGGUAGAGGAAAAGUCCAUAUUCUGUCGCGAGACUUCGUUUUACGAAGGAUUUUCUGCUUUCCUUCGAUUACGUGAACAUUUGGAGAAAUUACUGUACCCGUACAGUACACGGAUUUGCCUGUGAAAUCGAGAAGCUGGAGUGAAAACAAUAAUUUUAAGAUAUAUUAGUUAUAUUAAUUAAAAUAAUUGUUUUCAUGAAUAUUAACAGCUCAUUCAGUUGUAAAUAAAAAUAAUAUGUACUGUAUUUGACAGAUUUCUAGGAAUGAAAAGCCACAGAGGAGUUGAAAACCAACUAAAGUUAACUGUGUCGUACUGUCUGAAAAUUCAUGGAAUUUAUAAAUUGUACUCUUGCGGCUGUGGCACAUGAGAUCGUGACUACACUCAAUUCAGAA